rnacentral:pre_miRNA from 1 species
CUACUACUCCCUCCGUCUGAAAAUACUUGUCAUUGAAAUGGAUGUAUCUAGAUGUAUUUUAGUUCUAGACACAUCCAUUUUGAUGACAAGUAAUUCCGAACGGAGGGAGUAUUAU